rnacentral:rRNA from 1 species
GACGAACGCUGGCGGCGUGGAUUAGGCAUGCAAGUCGAACGGUAGAGUGCUUUCGGGCACUUGAGAGUGGCGAACGGGUGAGUAACACGUAGGUGAUCUACCCUCAAAUCGGGGACAACCCAGGGAAACUUGGGCUAAUACCGGAUGAGUGCUGUUUUCGGACAGUAUAAAAGAUGGCGUAAGCUGUUGUUUGAGGAUGAGCCUGCGCUCUAUUAGUUAGUUGGUGAGGUAACGGCUCACCAAGGCGAUGAUAGAUAGGCGGCCUUAACGGGUGGUCGCCCACACUGGGAUUGAGAUACGGCCCAGACUCCUACGGGAGGCUG